CUGCAUUCCAUUCCACACACAGGAAGCCUCAGUCUCCGUAGAGAGCAGGGACAGUAGUGAAGAAGACAUCUAGUGAGUGUGAGACACCCGGCAGCCAUCUUUGUGUGUCAGUUGGACUAAGCAGGACCCACAGCCCCUUCACGCUGCCUCCUCCUCACUCACUGAUACAUGAGAGACACAGCGACCAGAAGAUCCUGGAACUCACCAACAAGAUCAUUCAGCUGCUGACUGGAGAGGAGGGGGAGUAUAUAGAGGAACACAGGGGUCUGUACAAGGACGUGAUGAUGGAGAAUCACCGGCCCCUCACU